GACGAACGCUGGCGGCGUGCUUAACACAUGCAAGUCGAACGGAAAGGCCCUGCUUUUGUGGGGUGCUCGAGUGGCGAACGGGUGAGUAACACGUGAGUGACCUGCCCUUGACUUUGGGAUAACUUCGGGAAACUGGGGCUAAUACCGGAUAGGAGCUCCUGCUGCAUGGUGUGGGUUGGAAAGUUUCGGCGGUUGGGGAUGGACUCGCGGCUUAUCAGCUUGUUGGUGGGGUAGUGGCUUACCAAGGCUUUGACGGGUAGCCGGCCUGAGAGGGUGACCGGCCACAUUGGGACUGAGAUACGGCCCAGACUCCUACGGGAGGCAGCAGUGGGGAAUAUUGCACAAUGGGCGGAAGCCUGAUGCAGCAACGCCGCGUGCGGGAUGACGGCCUUCGGGUUGUAAACCGCUUUCGCCUGUGACGAAGCGUGAGUGACGGUAAUGGGUAAAGAAGCACCGGCUAACUACGUG
rnacentral:rRNA from 1 species